rnacentral:sRNA from 1 species
AUCAAGGGUGAAGCAUGGUGGCUAGCGGAGCCCGCAUCCUGACAGGUGUGCUGGCGUGGCCCUCUACCUGCCCCGCCGCGGCGGCCUGCGGCCAGGAGAAGUAGGCUGGCGACAUCUGGCGGGCCGCGGACCGAGGGAGGGGAGGCGGGGCGGGGCGGUGUCUCCCUCACGUGACCCCAACAGCGCCCAGCGCGUGGCGCUGCGCCCCAACCUCGGGGUCGGUCACAGUCUGCGCCUGCGCGGCCCCGGCUCGCUAGCCGUCCUGCGGGACGCCGGCGGUGAUGGGAAAUCCAGUUAUCAAAAUUGAUUCAAGAAGAGAGAACCUAACAGAACAAUAACAAUGGAAGAAAUUGGGAACAUUAUCACAAAGCUAUCAUCCUGCCAAACUCCAGGCUCAGAUGUCACAGGGUUUCUAUUGCCUGGGCUGGAGUGUAGUGGCAUGAUCAUGGCUCACUAUAGCCUUGACUUCCUGGGCUCAAGCGAUCCUUCCGCCUCAGCCUCCUGAGUAGCUGGGACUACAGAGACGGGGUUUCGCUCUUGUGACCAGGCUGGAGUGCAAUGGCGUGAUCUCGGCUCACCGCAACCUCCGACCUCUGGGUUCAAGUGAUUCUCCUGCCUCCGCCUCCCAAGUAGCUGGGAUUACAGGCAUGCGCCACCACGCCUGGCUAAUUUUGUAUUUUUAGUAGAGAUGGGGUUUCUCCAUGUUGGUCAGGCUGGUCUCAAACUCCUAACCUCAGGUGAUCUGCCCACCUCGGCCUCCCAAAGUGCUGGGAUUAUAGGCGUGAGCCACCGCGCCGGCUGCCUUAAAUCUAUUUAUCUGACGUUCCCAACUAGGAAAUUUUUUGUCCAAAUAAGUAUAUCUGAUUUUAAAGUAGAAAUCGAAGGUAAAAUAGGAUUUAUCUCAGUUCCUAUCUCCCUUCAAUCUAUUCUUCAUAUUGUCAAUAAUUUUUUUUUUUUUGAGACGUGGUCUCUGUCGCCAGGCUGGAGUGCAGUGGUGAAAUCUUGGCUCACUGCACCCUCUGCCUCCUGUGUUCAGGCGAUUCUCCUGCCUCAGCCUCCGGAGUAGCUGGGAUUGCAGGCAUCCGCCAUCACACCCGGCUAAAUUUCGUAUUUUUUCAGUAGAGACAGGGUUUUGCGCCAGGCUGGUCUCAAACUCCUGACCUUAAGUGAUCCACCUGCCUCAGCCUCCCAAAGUGCUGGGAUUACAGGCGUGAGCCGCCGUGCCCGGCCAUCAGUAAUUUUUUAAAAUGUCACUUCAAUAAAUGCUUUUCCUCUGCCAUAAAGACCAAACAUCUUGCUGUGGCCUACAGGAGACAGGAUGAUCCAGCCCUUGCCUCCCUUACUCUCAUCUCUAGCUAAAACUGCGCUGCUGUCUCUGCACUCCAGCCACUGGCACUUCUUGAUUACUUGGAGCACGCUGUACUCAUCUUGCUCCCAGCCUCUGCCCAUGCAGGUGCCCUCUGCCCUCAGCACUGCCUUUCUCUACUUCAUUUAUAGACUGCUGUCCUUCAGAUCUCGGUUGAAAUGUCACUUCCUUGGGGAAGCUGGCUUACACUCUCAGGACUCGGUUAGGUUCCCCCGUCAGGCUCUUCUAUGUCACCAUGUUUCUAUUUUUCACAGCACUUACCUGUUUUAAUUACGUUGCAAAUAGUUUUUGUUUGGGUCUAGAGAAGCAUGUAUUCACUAGUACAUUUUAUUUGUGUUCUCUAAUUAUUUUUUCUGCAGCUAAAUUAGAAAUUUGUAGUUUUCCCCCUAAAAAUGCAAUGAUGUUUUCUCUGAUUUUCUUGUCACCUUUCUUCCAAAUAAUCCGUGUGUUCAAAGUGCUUGCUUGCAGUUUGCCCCAUAAUAAAUGGUUGUUUAAUCCAAA